rnacentral:lncRNA from 1 species
AUGAGCUGGUUUGAUUGGGUUAUCUAUGUACCGAAGGGGAAGGGAUCAUUAUUUUGUACACUACCGGAUGGGGGGUUCGCCGUGUGUCUGGCGCACACGGCAAAGCCCAAACCGCACACGACAAAGGUUUUGCCAUGUGUUGCUCACGGCGAAGAACACACGGCAAACCCUUCCACGGUGAACUUUACCUUUACUCAUGGCCAAAUUGCGGGCACACGGCGAAGCUUUGCCGAGAGUCAAUCUUGACACACAGUAAAAAAAAAGGUGACGGACGACGGGAGACGGUUUGACAGUAGGGUUUGUCGUGCCGUGUGCCAGUGUUGGACACACGGCAAACCCCCUUCCCAGGUUUGGCACAGAUAAAAAUAAAAAAAUCUAAAAAAAAGGAGAUUUUUUUGCACCUGCUGGCCAAGUUCUGAAUUUUUUGCAUCUUUGCGUCCCAUGGGAUUUGAACCCAUGACCUCUCUCUCACAC